ACAAUUUAUCCAUAAGGCAAAAAAUUAAGAGAUUUUUAGUUGGACCAUUUGUUCAGAAAAUCAUUACCUAAUCAGAUAACUGGAAAAAACGUAAAGUACUUCGGUUUAUUAAUACUGUAAUAGUGUAACUUUAGCCUCCUCUAGCAAGAACAGUUACAGUUAUUCAGUACAUAAAAUAAAGUUAGUUUGUGUAGUUUUUUUAUCUGCCACUUGUCAGGCUUGACCAAAGGUUUCAGCAUGGAUUGUAAAUAACCAUGUUAUUUUACAAUCCAUGGUUUCAGGUAUAUUGGUAUUUAGACCAUUUUGCUUUUGCAGUUUUGAGUUCAAUAUUUUAUUGCUAAAAUAUGUUGAAAUACUGGUAUACAGACACAGCCUGACAUUUUAGGUAUGCUGGUUUAUUCAGACAGUGUUAUCGAGUAUAAUGGUAUUCUGGUAACCCCCUGGCUAACAGGCUAAGGCCUGACCACCUGAAUUGUAUA